CAGGCAGGCGCGCGCACGGAGCUUCGCGCACAGCCCCGCGCGCGCCCUCCCCUCUGCUUUGCUCCGCUCCGCUCCCCCCGCCGCCGCCGGGCGCGCGCACAGCCGGGGCCGCCCGGGGGGGCUCUAGAGCCCGGCGGGCCGCGAGCGCCGCAGGGGCAGCGCCGGCCCGUCCUCCCUCAGCACUACGGACACCACGGCGGCGGCGGCUGCCCGGCUCCGGGCUGUAGCUGUUGUUGCCAUGAUGAUGAUGUCACGGACGCAACCAUUGGGGGGAGUGGGGGGAGGACGGGCCAUGGUUUGGGGGGAAGCGAGGGAGAGAGGUGUCUUAUUCCCCCCCUCCCCCACCAGUCCGGCUCAGCAGACGUGCGUAAGGCUUCGGAGGUUUUUUUUCUCCCCCAAAUUAUUAUUCUCCCCCCCACCCUUUUCUUCCCUGGGUAGCAAGAAGCGGGGGGUGGGGCGGGGGGAGCUCGAUGAUUCGGUGAUCGGCCGCCGAGGUCGGGGCGAGGCUGCGGAAUUCCGAGCCGCGGAUUGGACAGGCCGGGGGUGGGGGGAGGACGAGGGAACGCCGCCGGGCCAGGAUUGGGUUAAGCUGGGUCGGCCGCCAUUUUGGAUGCUGAGCCGUCUUGCUGCGGGAAGAUUGAGAGCACACUUCUACUUUUUGUAUUCUUUUUGCAAUCAAGUGAAGAAGUUAGCCUCCAGGGUCACGCCAAGGUCUUGCCUUUGCCUCCCAUGA
rnacentral:lncRNA from 1 species